rnacentral:lncRNA from 1 species
AUGCAGGUGCUGCUUUUGUUGGCUUCGCAAAUGGGCAGGGGAAAGAAAAAAGCACGCGAUGCUAUGGACGACAGACGGAGCGCAGAGGACCCGGGGCCCCGUCGGGUGCCGUGCAGCAGCUGGUGUUGUGAAUCAGGCCGUCGCCAGUCGGAGAACGGCUACUUCACAACACCAGGGUGGCACCGCACCACGCUUCGACCGCCGGCCGGGGAGGAGCGGAGGUUCCCGAGGAUGGGCACGGCAAGGGGGAGCACGGCCUCGCUGCCUCCGCCCCAGCCCAGACCUGCAAAGGUAAUCAGGUGCUCAACUCCUAUUUAGGCACCAGCCUCCCACGGAAGUCUGAAAUAGAAGUUAGGCCCCUAAAUAUCUCUGCGGGUCUGGCCCCGAGGCCCGGCCUCGCUGUGCGGCAUGGGGCAGUCCUGUCACGGCUCAGUCACGGCCUGCACGUGUGCUCCGUGAAUGGUGAGGAACGGGUGACUUCUGGCGGGUGGUGGAAAGCUGCGGGGUGAGCAGCCUCUGCGUGCUCCACGUGUAGCCCAGCGGACACCUCAUCGCGUAUCAUUCUGUAAAAGGUGCUGUAGGCACUGUGGAAGAAGCCGGGCUCCCUGGAAAUGACAUUAAAACAGCCCCAGGUGUGUUGUAAUAAAAGACAAAGUACCAAAAAUAAAGAGUGGGGU